rnacentral:lncRNA from 1 species
UCGCAACAGCGGGUCUCGGUUAUGAGGUGAACAUGGGGAAAUUACCUGGCACUCAGGUUUUUCCUGGGCAAUUCAUCCUUGGCUUUAAUACUUAUUUUCUGAAAAUUUCCAUAUGUUAGAUGAUGUCGUUAGGAGAAUCAAAAACUGAAAAGUGUAUGGUAAUGCUAAUGCUGACAUUCUCUUAUUUUGGCAAUGUGUGGAUAACCGGAUGCUAUUUCAGAUCUGCUAUCUGGACUUCCUACUUCUAAAUGGCUUUGUAGCAUGAUUCAAGGUAGAGAGCACUGAUUUUACUGAAUUGAGUCUCCAGGACGACAACAUAUGUGGAGCUGCAACCGGUUGGGUAAUGGUUCACACUGAUUAUAGGGUAGUAGUGAAGUCCAAUCUCUUUGGACAUGGAUUGAACCCUAACUAAUUUAUGAAUUGAAAUACUUGCAGACGGUCUUGGUCGUCAUCUUUUUCUUCUUCCUCCCUUCCUAUUUAUUUAAUCUGCCUUGUCCAAGAGGCAGGUGGUGAUAUUUCCCACCUCAUGGCAUCUCUUUCCUUUCUUCCAAGCUCUAACCUUUGCUUUCAUAGAGAUUACUUCCACAUUAGACCUUUGAGUCUACAAUAGAUAUUUCUUUACAUCACUUGCCAUUUAGGCUUCUUCAACGAGCUCUGAUUCCAAUUUGAAGGAGGGUGGGUUAUAUUAUAAUAAUAUGAAAAUGAUAGGGUUGACAUUGCGUGGCUCGACAUGUAGAAGAUAUUUUUAAUUUCAAAUGACAUGUGGAAAAGUAUUCUUUUUAGCCAAGAAAAAAAGAAGAGAAAAGAAAGAAACCCUGCAGGAGGAAGGUAUAUUUUUAGCCAAGGGGAAAAAAAACGGUAAGGUAUAUUUUUAGCCAAGAAAAAAAAAUCCUGUAGCAGAAAAUGGGAGAGAGAUCGAGCAACAAAGUGUGGUAGAUUAUUGAGAGGACUUGGGGAUUUGGCGGUAUAAUCGCGAAGAGAGAACAUUUUCUUUUAGGAAACUGGAUAAUUCGGUCUUUCGUUGGUCGUAGGCAAUUACAGGGCGAGGGAAAUCAGGGGGUAAGUUAGGCCCAGCGGCGGCUGGGCAGCUUCUCUAUAACUUUUUAAUACAGAGGAAAGAAUGUGGUGACCAAAUAUCUAUGGCAACGUAGAAUUGAAGUAGACGUCUAUUAAAAUUUAAUCCGUUGCAUCUAAAACUUUAAUGCCUAUUAAAUGUGUGCAACUUUUUCAGACAUUCAAGUUAGACUUGGUCUAAUAUCUUGCCAUGAAAAAUCUGGUACAUGUCUCUCUUUUUAAUCAUCAUUUCGGUGGCUAGCGACGACAAACUUGUGUCGAUACAUUUAACAUCACAAUGAAAAGCCCUUCUCUCCGAGCUCAAACUGAUUAGCUUGUCCGUGAGGACAAACCAAGCCUCGAGAAUUUUGCGAGGGAACAUCCAUACGCCAUACCAUCUGGCAAACCAAAACAAGAUUGCACCUGUGGCCCAUGGUAUCCAGCAACGUCAUCAUUUUAAUUACAAAAAGCCCUCAUUUUAAACUAACUAGGGAGGACAAGAAAAGUAACUGUUUAUAAUUACUCUGUAAUUAUUUACUGAAUUUUCAAUUAUAUCAUGACGAAAAUCUACAGUAAGAUCAAUCUCAUGAGAUUAUAUGAACUCACUGUGUGAAGUCAUGCCUUUGUUUUCUUUUUUGGCGUUAGAUCACUUUGUGCUCACACAGAGAUUUCAUGCUUCCUACAAACACGCCAAGAAUUAUUUUUAUUUACGGUAUGAGACAUGAUGUAGAUUUAGUAUAUCUUAGCCCAAGAUUAUUAUUUUGCUAAUUGGUUUAAUCCAUAUAACCCAGAUUUGGGCUUCAUUUCCCUCAAUACCCUCAAUUCUGGCUAACAAUAAUAAAUUGUCUUCACCUUCUAGCAGAAUCUAGCAGUUUGAGAAACCACGACCACCUAAUCAGGAGAUUGACAGUUACUACACAUUUAUUUCUUAUAGGAUGUUUGGCCAAGAAGCUAGCAAAUAAAACGUAUUAGACUGAACUAUAGACUUCUAAACAAUAAGAAAAUAAAAAUGAAGUAUUGACUUGAACUGGAAUGGUUGGUUAAUAUUCUCAGAAAAGUUCAUAUUUUAGUCUGUCUUGUUUACGCUUUUUUUCUUUUUUUGAUAAGAAGAGAAAGUGAUCAGUCUCGGCGGAUUCCUUUUGCAAGUGGGAACACCUUGAUUUGAAUGUAGCCGUCGAACCACUGUAACUGUCCUCGUGGGUCUAAAAUUAGGCCUUCUUAUGGGUCCGGUGUGUAUCCUUUACAUGAAAGAAUGAUUCAUCUCUUUUUGCGAUGCCAACUAUUGGAUUGUACAAUUGCUUUUUCGAGAUCUAUAUGGGUGGAGGAAGAAAAAGAUUUGAGCAUUUUGAAAUUCAUAUCAUAUACAAUUUAAUGGUUGAGGUUGCAAAAGAAGACCAAUUCUCCUUUCAUAUGAAAGGUACAACCCGAACUCCUCCCGUGGAUAAAUCCCUUUAGUAGGCCAUUCCAUACAGGCACGAGACGCUAAGUGGUCUCUUUGGUCCAAGAUCUUAACCCAUCAGUCUCUAUCCGUUGUCCUGAUACAGUAGGAAUGGUCAAGAUCAUUCAUUCCAUAUGAACAUAGAGACCUUUUAGAAUCUCAAUUGUCAUCACGCAAACCCGCAAAGCCUGAAAUCUGCGAUCCAUCUUCAUAUGCUUGGAUGUCACAAUUUGAUCUACUGUUGCUCAUUUAAGUUUCAAUUCAUGGUACGCUAUAUUACAGUUUGGAAAAUUGAAAUGGAUCUGAUUCCCACAGUUUGUCCAAAAAAGUUCAUAAUUUUGCCACAUUGAGGGUCCGUUCGUUUCUACCGUUACUAUUUUGAUUGAAUUAUUCUCUAUCUUUAGAUCAAUGAGAGUUUUUGAAAAAAAAAUUUAAAAAUAAUUCUGACUCCGAUAUUAUGUGCAGUUUAGUGCUUCAUUUCUUUGCAGAAAUUACUCAUCAAAAUAAUUAUGCAAAGUUAAGUAGUGACUUAGUUUGAUUGGUCCAUCUAAAAUUGCUUUAGAAAUACAAUCAUCAAUUUUUUAUCGAAAAAAAUUUAAAGUAGUGUAUAUGUUGGGCUGCAUAUAUUAUUGAUUUUGAUGGUUUGCUCGAUAAGGCCUUUUGGUCAAUUGAGCUUAUCCCAUGGGUGUUCUCAGCUUUUAUUAAAUGCUAACGUGUCAACGGGAUCCUUUGCCUUGCUCAAAUAGAUAAACCAUGGUAAAACUUAUAGAAUGGUGAUACAAAAUGAUUAUUUUGCUGGGCCCAGAAUAAAAUUUGUGACAUCAUUCUCAUCACAUCAACCGAUAGCUCACCUUGAUUAAGUACUAACAUGUCAACAAUGUACUACUUUGCCUUGCUCAAGUAGCUAAACCUCGGUGGAACAUAUGCAGUGGUCAUAGAAAAUUCCCGUUUUG